rnacentral:rRNA from 1 species
UACGUAGGGUGCAAGCGUUAAUCGGAAUUACUGGGCGUAAAGGGCGCGUAGGCGGAUAGUUUAGUCAGAGGUGAAAGCCCAGGGCUCAACCUUGGAAUUGCCUUUGAUACUGGCUAUCUUGAGUUCGGGAGAGGUGAGUGGAAUGCCGAGUGUAGAGGUGAAAUUCGUAGAUAUUCGGCGGAACACCAGUGGCGAAGGCGACUCACUGGCCCGAUACUGACGCUGAGGCGCGAAAGCGUGGGGAGCAAACAGG